GAGAUGGAUAGAAAGUGCUGGUU
rnacentral:siRNA from 1 species